UACGUAGGGACCAAGCGUUGUUCGGAUCUACUGGGCGUAAAGGGCGCGUAGGCGGCGCGGUAAGUCACUUGUGAAAUCUCUGAGCUUAACUCAGAACGGCCAAGUGAUACUGCAGUGCUAGAGUGUGGAAGGGGCAAUCGGAAUUCUUGGUGUAGCGGUGAAAUGCGCAGAUAUCAGGAGGAACACCGGUGGCGAAGGCGGGUCUCUGGGCCGUAACUGACGCUGAGGAGCGAAAGCAUGGGGAGCGAACAGG
rnacentral:rRNA from 1 species